CCAUUUGGUCAGCCCCUGGGCACCAUAGCAAACUCAGGGUGCCCCAGCCGGGAAGGUAAGCAGGGUCGGUCUUGGCUGGGACUUGGAUGGGGGACCACCUGGGGAGACCAAGUGCUGGAGGCU
ensembl:rRNA 5S_rRNA 5S ribosomal RNA